rnacentral:rRNA from 1 species
GAUGAACGCUGGCGGCGUGCCUAAUACAUGCAAGUCGAGCGAACAGACGAGGAGCUUGCUCCUCUGACGUUAGCGGCGGACGGGUGAGUAACACGUGGAUAACAUACCUAUAAGACUGGGAUAACUUCGGGAAACCGGAGCUAAUACCGGAUAAUAUAUUUAACCGCAUGGUUCAAUAGUGAAAGACGGUUUUGCUGUCACUUAUAGAUGGAUCCGCGCCGCAUUAGCUAGUUGGUAAGGUAACGGCUUACCAAGGCAGCGAUGCGUAGCCGACCUGAGAGGGUGAUCGGCCACACUGGAACUGAGACACGGUCCAGACUCCUACGGGAGGCAGCAGUAGGGAAUCUUCCGCAAUGGGCGAAAGCCUGACGGAGCAACGCCGCGUGAGUGAUGAAGGUCUUCGGAUCGUAAAACUCUGUUAUUAGGGAAGAACAAAUGUGUAAGUAACUAUGCACGUCUUGACGGUACCUAAUCAGAAAGCCACGGCUAACUACGUG